GGCGGUGUAGCUCAGCUGGCUAGAGCGUUCGGUUCAUACCCGAAAGGUCGGGGGUUCGAUUCCCUUCGCCGCUAC
rnacentral:tRNA from 1 species